rnacentral:lncRNA from 1 species
UCCGCGUUCAGCAGGACAUUUCUGACGCAGCACAAAAGAAAGGACGAGACACGCAUCCGCCGCAGGUACAUCGUCGACGACACACUCUUCAGUCAACGUGGGGACCUCGUCGACGACACACUCUUCAAGUCAACGCAGGGACAUCUACUACAACACACCCUUUAGUCAACACAGGGACAUCGACAACGACUAAAUGGAGACAGUUUACUUCGUAGUAGCUGCAGUAUUGCUACUGGCGACUACAGAGGCACGUCGGACAACAUACUAUCGUAGACGUCCAUUUCGUAAAGGAAACAGACCAACAUGUCCGCCAGAACGAACAUGCGCAAAUCCAUCUACACCAGUGUGCCAACAUGUCGCCUGAUGCCGUGUCUGUACAUGCACAACACCACCUCAAUGUCCGACAUUUCCUGCCUGCCCAUCAGACUGUCUAUUUGGGACUACCUUUCAGAAGGACGUCAAUGGUUGUGAUGUCUGCGUAUGCACUCCGCCAUUUUCCUGCCCUCCCCUACCAGAGUGUGCGUCUCUGACUUUCUGUACCUUUGGGUUCAAGAGGGUGGACAGCUGCGUCUCCCCAACCUGUGAAUGCAACCCCGAAGCCUGCCCCCCUCUCACGUGCUCACCUCAGACAUGUCCCCUUGGGUUUGUCACGGACGACAUUGGAUUUGGAUGUCCGAAGUGUGAAUGUAGAAGACCCGAGACGGCCGUGGCUUGCCCCCCUCUCCCGUGCCUGGCUCUCCUCGACUGUUUUGCCGGGUCCUCCCUUGUGAGGGUCAACGGCUGCCCAGUGUGUAGAUGUGGACCCGCCCCCGUCUGUCCCUCCCCUCCCCCCGACUGCGGCAACACGCAGUGUCAGCUCGGCUUCAAGUUUGUGGAUGGUUGUCGGACGUGUCAGUGUAGAUCUGUUUGCCCAACGCUGCAAUGCGACCGGACGAUCUGUCAUGAAGGAUUCGCCAGUGAUGCCAGUGGAUGUCCAACUUGCAGCUGUAACGCUGGGUCUUGACCAAUGGUCAGUUCAUGCUAUAUAACUGUUAACAGUGUGUCGUUGAUACAAGAUUUGCGAGUUCAAAUAAUUUUCAUACCAUUAUCAUUAUCUCAACUAAUAUUUAAUCAUCUAAUAUGAUCUCUGUCUUCAUAUUAGUCAUGGGCACUCUCCACCGACCCACCACACCUCUCUCUAACCGUUUGAACAGUUUUGGAACUUGGUGUAUAUCUUGCAAUACGACAACAUCAACACCAAUCAGAGGCGAAACAUGUCCGUUUAAAUAUGUACAUUUCUACAAUCCUUGCUCAACUCUUGCUUGCUGCUAGAUUUAUCAAAGCAAAGUGAUGAAAUAUUCAGAUAAUCAAGUAUAUGAUGUCUAAAUGUCCAAAUCACACAGCAGUUGACAUUUCUCUUGUGACUCUUCUAGACUCUUGAUAUAACGAUUGUUACGACGGUAGAUAUAUGUAAACGUGCCUCGUGUUGACUCGCUAGCAGGAGGGGGUAACUAAUGAAUGACAACAAUACCUAUAUUCCACACUUUUUAUGAACAUGUUAUGUCCAAAGCAUGAUUUGGGAUGUAAAGGGACUGACAAUGUGCAUUUUUACCCCAAAACAGUAUCUGACACAAAAACAUUUGACUACAUCUAUCAUUUACUAGCCAGUUGGAUACAAAAACAUAAAGAAAAUCUAAGUUUGCUUUGUUCUACUAUGGGGAAGGGUAUGUCGGCAGUUUGAGGGUCUGGCCACAUUUCUUUGUGCCAUGCACCAAAUGUGUGAUAUCCCCCAACUGAUAUCUUUGUGAAAAUGGAUCUGACAUAUACAAAUACAAAGUUCCGAAUCAUUUUCUCGGGAUUGUUUCGAUUACUCAAUAACUACUCUUCUAUACAGACGGACAGUUUUG